GCAGAGGAGCAGGCAUUCGCUGCGUCUCGCGAGGGACGGGGAGGAAAGUCCGGGCUCCGCAGGACACGCUGGUGGGUAACGCCCACCAUCCGUGAGGAUCGGGAAAGUGCAACAGAAAGUAAACCGCCGAUCGGAAUUCUGCGAUGCAGGAUUCAGGAGGUAAGGGUGAAACGGUGCGGUAAGAGCGCACCAGCAGUGCGGGUGACCGUGCUGGCUGGGUAAACCCCGGCGGGAGCAAGGCCAAGCAGAGAGAAGCAUCCUCAGGGAUGCUCGAAUCGGUCCGGUUCGACGGACUCUCGGGUCGGCUGCUAAAGAUGCCAGGCAACUGUCAUCUCAGAGAAAUGAAUGCCCCAGACAAAACCCGGCUUAUCGCUCCUCUGCUGAU
rnacentral:RNase_P_RNA from 1 species